UACGGGGGGGGCAAGCGUUGUUCGGAAUUACUGGGCGUAAAGGGCUCGUAGGUGGCCAACUAAGUCAUACGUGAAAUCCCUCGGCUUAACCGGGGAACUGCGUCUGAUACUGGAUGGCUUGAGUUUGGGAGAGGGACGCGGAAUUCCAGGUGUAGCGGUGAAAUGCGUAGAUAUCUGGAGGAACACCGGUGGCGAAGGCGGCGUCCUGGACCGAAUACUGACACUGAGGAGCGAAAGCCAGGGGGAGCAAA
rnacentral:rRNA from 1 species